GUAGUCCACGCUGUAAACGAUGAAUGCUAGGUGUAGGAGGUAUCGACCCCUUCUGUGCCGGAGUUAACACAAUAAGCAUUCCGCCUGGGGAGUACGGCCGCAAGGUUGAAACUCAAAGGAAUUGACGGGGGCCCGCACAAGCAGCGGAGCAUGUGGUUUAAUUCGAAGCAACGCGAAGAACCUUACCAGGUCUUGACAUCCAGUAAAAGCACAGGAGACUGUGUGUGAGCUUGCUCAUACUGAGACAGGUGGUGCAUGGUUGUCGUCAGCUCGUGUCGUGAGAUGUUGGGUUAAGUCCCGCAACGAGCGCAACCCUUAUAUUUAGUUACUAACGCGUAGAGGCGAGGACUCUAGAUAGACUGCCGGGGACAACUCGGA
rnacentral:rRNA from 1 species